GUCUGACAAUAGAGCUGAGAUCCCAGAUAGCUCAUGGGUGAGAGUGAAAGACCCCCGGAGCGGGGAGACCCUCACUCAAGUCUUGGGAUAAUGAGACUCCCCAAGAACUCACACAAGACC
rnacentral:pre_miRNA from 14 species